rnacentral:piRNA from 1 species
UCAGUGGUGCCAAUACUUCCUUGAGUCC